UGGAUCACCUCCUAACAGGGAGACAACAAAAUGUUAAAUAUUAAUUUUGUCACCUUAGGUCGAUCGGUAUCUCACAUUCUUAAUUUAUUAAGGAUUUCACUUCUUAAGUUUUUUCUAGGUCACACCCAUUAUUUUCCCUGGGCCAUUAGCUCAGGUGGUUAGAGCGCACCCCUGAUAAGGGUGAGGUCCCUGGUUCAAGUCCAGGAUGGCCCAUAUCUCUAUGUUGGGGGUAUAGCUCAGUUGGUAGAGCGCCUGCUUUGCAAGCAGGAUGUCAGCGGUUCGAGUCCGCUUACCUCCACUGAUUACCACCUCUUCCAUAAUCAAUAGGAAGGGAAUAUUAUGUGUUGUGAUCAAAUUCUGAACGAAUCUAGCUUCCUAAUGAAAUCAUUAAGAUGCUGGACUCAUUGAAUUAUUUUCAUUGUUUUCAGAGAACCUUGACAACUGCAUAGAUUAUUUUUAAAGACAAUAAGCAUCUUUAAUGAUGCAGAUUUUUUAUUUGUGCGAAUGCAUUAAUAACAAUUCUAUUAAGCUGAUGCUUCAAUUUUGAAGUUAUUGGUCAAGCUACAAAGGGCUCACGGAGGAUACCUAGGCACACAGAGGCGAUGAAGG
rnacentral:tRNA from 1 species